rnacentral:lncRNA from 1 species
CUGUUUCAAUAUGGUCUGUUUGAUGAAAUACACAUUGAGAUUCAUAAAGAGCAGCUAAGCCUAGAAAGAUAAUGGAGGCAUAACCACCCACAUAUUCAAAGGGAUUCAAAUUCACGCUACAAGUUCAUCAUGUGAAAAUCCUUAAAAAAAAGUCCUUCAGUUGUAGAUUCCAUGGUCUCCCAGUCAUGAAAACAUAAUUAAUUUGACAAUCAAAGUUAAUCCAGCAAAGACAGUGAGCAGGAUUGUACAAGGAAAGAGUGGAAUCACAGAACUCCCAUCAGGAAAAUAAACCCAGAACAUUUAGUGUACCGAUGUGGAAUCUGUGGCAUAGACAAGUGAAGAAUUUCUUCUAUAUUCAUUUGGAGAAAAGGCACCCUUUGAGAAGAGAAAACGAACAGUGGGAAGAUGGAAGAAUGAACAGUGAGUGACUGUACAUCGUCAGAGUACCGUAUAAAAUAUCUGAAAAUAUCACAAUAAAAUUCAUUUUCUGCAGAAAAGAGAUGUGAUUACCAAGCUUAAGUGUGCUGUAUAUUAAAUGAAAAUUCUGAUCAUAAAGAAAGUCCCCAAACUCAGGAGUAUGAAGGAUGUUCAGAAAGCCAACAAGGAAAAUCGACCACUCAAAAAUAGUACAGAUAUGCAGAUGGAAAGGAACAAAAGUCAUUAUGAUUGUGGUAACCAAGACACAGAACACAAAUAUGAUGUCCGGACCCUACUGCCGAAGACAAGACCUAUAGAACUUGCUGAAAAUGGAGGAGUGUCUUCUUUGCUCAGCCAUCAUGGCCCUUUCCCUCAGUUCUCAGAGAACUCUUGGAAGAGGUAGCAGAAAGAGUAUAAGAUCCACACGUGAUGGAGGAAACAUGAUCUUCUAAACACACCAGGACUUAUGCACAUAAGAACUCACAGACUAAGACAACAUGAACAGAGCCUGCAAGGGUUUGCAGCAGGUCUGGGACUACAAGUGUUCACCACUACAGCUGUCUUUUAUGUGGGAGUUGGAAAUUGAGCUCAAGCCCUUAUGUCUGCGCAUCAGGAACUUUGCCCAGAGAGCUGUGUCCCUACCCCUAUACAACAUGAUUUCUUUAUAUUUAUUGCCCAAGGAAAUAUUUUCAACUAGUUCCUAGAAUUCAUCAAUGGCUAAAGAAACCUGUGUUAAUUGUAAUGGUCAAACUCACUGUAUUAGACUCAUUUAUGCACUGGAAAUUGUUUACAUCAAUAACCGUGAGUUCUGAAAAGAAAAAGGCUAAACUUAAUGGCAUUGUGAUAUUGACUCUGGAGUUUAAAUAGUAAAUAGUUGAACAUUGAAUAAAAAGUCUGGAGAGAUGGUGGAGAAUGGGUUUAUUUAUUUUAGUUCACAUUCAAGAUGCAGCACAUCAGAGUGGAAAAGUCAAGCCAAGCAGGAGCCAGACACAACAGCUCGCAUCAGAUUGAAAACCGGAAAGCAGAGUGAUAAAGGCUUCCUAGUACUCAGCUCGCCUCCAUUCAUAGAGGCCAGGGAUGGAGAUUUAACAGAAGCACUUAUAAAAGAGAGGCCCCCAGAAUUGCAUUAUAAGCACAAUCUGCAGGAUCCUGGCCUCCAUCUAGAGUCACAAGUGUUCCAUUAUGACUGGCGUGGAGAGA